rnacentral:rRNA from 1 species
GCGUUAAGUUGCAGGGUAUAGACCCGAAACCCGGUGAUCUAGCCAUGGGCAGGUUGAAGGUUGGGUAACACUAACUGGAGGACCGAACCGACUAAUGUUGAAAAAUUAGCGGAUGACCUGUGGCUGGGGGUGAAAGGCCAAUCAAACCGGGAGAUAGCUGGUUCUCCCCGAAAGCUAUUUAGGUAGCGCCUCGUGAAUUCAUCUCCGGGGGUAGAGCACUGUUUCGGCUAGGGGGCCAUCCCGGCUUACCAACCCGAUGCAAACUGCGAAUACCGGAGAAUGUUAUCACGGGAGACACACGGCGGGUGCUAACGUCCGUCGUGAAGAGGGAAACAACCCAGACCGCCAGCUAAGGUCCCAAAGUCAUGGUUAAGUGGGAAACGAUGUGGGAAGGCCCAGACAGCCAGGAUGUUGGCUUAGAAGCAGCCAUCAUUUAAAGAAAGCGUAAUAGCUCACUGGUCGAGUCGGCCUGCGCGGAAGAUGUAACGGGGCUAAACCAUGCACCGAAGCUGCGGCAGCGACGCUGAUGCGUUGUUGGGUAGGGGAGCGUUCUGUAAGCCUGCGAAGGUGGCCUGUGAGGGUUGCUGGAGGUAUCAGAAGUGCGAAUGCUGACAUAAGUAACGAUAAAGCGGGUGAAAAGCCCGCUCGCCGGAAGACCAAGGGUUCCUGUCCAACGUUAAUCGGGGCAGGGUGAGUCGACCCCUAAGGCGAGGCCGAAAGGCGUAGUCGAUGGGAAACGGGUUAAUAUUCCCGUACUUGGUGUUACUGCGAAGGGGGGACGGAGAAGGCUAUGUUGGCCGGGCGACGGUUGUCCCGGUUUAAGCGUGUAGGUGUGUGUUCCAGGUAAAUCCGGUUCACUUUAACACUGAGGCGUGAUGACGAGGCACUACGGUGCUGAAGCAACAAAUGCCCUGCUUCCAGGAAAAGCCUCUAAGCAUCAGGUAACAUCAAAUCGUACCCCAAACCGACACAGGUGGUCAGGUAGAGAAUACCAAGGCGCUUGAGAGAACUCGGGUGAAGGAACUAGGCAAAAUGGUGCCGUAACUUCGGGAGAAGGCACGCUGACACGUAGGUGAAGUGAUUUACUCACGGAGCUGAAGUCAGUCGAAGAUACCAGCUGGCUGCAACUGUUUAUUAAAAACACAGCACUGUGCAAACACGAAAGUGGACGUAUACGGUGUGACGCCUGCCCGGUGCCGGAAGGUUAAUUGAUGGGGUCAGCGCAAGCGAAGCUCCUGAUCGAAGCCCCGGUAAACGGCGGCCGUAACUAUAACGGUCCUAAGGUAGCGAAAUUCCUUGUCGGGUAAGUUCCGACCUGCACGAAUGGCGUAAUGAUGGCCAGGCUGUCUCCACCCGAGACUCAGUGAAAUUGAACUCGCUGUGAAGAUGCAGUGUACCCGCGGCAAGACGGAAAGACCCCGUGAACCUUUACUAUAGCUUGACACUGAACAUUGAGCCUUGAUGUGUAGGAUAGGUGGGAGGCUUUGAAGUGUGGACGCCAGUCUGCAUGGAGCCGACCUUGAAAUACCACCCUUUAAUGUUUGAUGUUCUAACGUGGACCCGUUACCCGGGUUGCGGACAGUGUCUGGUGGGUAGUUUGACUGGGGCGGUCUCCUCCUAAAGAGUAACGGAGGAGCACGAAGGUUGGCUAAUCCUGGUCGGACAUCAGGAGGUUAGUGCAAUGGCAUAAGCCAGCUUGACUGCGAGCGUGACGGCGCGAGCAGGUGCGAAAGCAGGUCAUAGUGAUCCGGUGGUUCUGAAUGGAAGGGCCAUCGCUCAACGGAUAAAAGGUACUCCGGGGAUAACAGGCUGAUACCGCCCAAGAGUUCAUAUCGACGGCGGUGUUUGGCACCUCGAUGUCGGCUCAUCACAUCCUGGGGCUGAAGUAGGUCCCAAGGGUAUGGCUGUUCGCCAUUUAAAGUGGUACGCGAGCUGGGUUUAGAACGUCGUGAGACAGUUCGGUCCCUAUCUGCCGUGGGCGCUGGAGAACUGAGGGGGGCUGCUCCUAGUACGAGAGGACCGGAGUGGACGCAUCACUGGUGUUCGGGUUGUCAUGCCAAUGGCACUGCCCGGUAGCUAAAUGCGGAAGAGAUAAGUGCUGAAAGCAUCUAAGCACGAAACUUGCCCCGAGAUGAGUUCU